AGAUACGAUGGUCCCUUGAGGGAAUCCCAAGAGCAGAUCCUGCCCAACGACCUUCAUGCGGGAGGUGACUUGGAAGUGUAUUCCGAAGCCACUUUUCUGCGUAGACUGGAGGGUUACAGCAAUGUGUGAGUGAAGGCUGCUGAGGAGGCUCAGUGGUUAAGAGCAGUGGCUACAGCUCUCAGAAGGUAGAAACAGGUCCAGGGGAUCUGACACCCUCUCUGACCUCAGUGGACACCGCAUGCAUGUAGUGCACAGGUAUACAUGCAGGCAAAAUACACACAUAAAGUAAAAAUAAGUAAAUCUUAAUAUUUUAAUAAAAAAAUCACAACAAGGUGUGUGAGAGCCCUUAUGGUGGCACAUGGGCCAGGAGUGGCCAUUUGUUAUUAUUUUUCUUGACA